ACGCUGGCGGCGUGCCUAAUACAUGCAAGUAGAACGCUGAAGAGAGGAGCUUGCUCUUCUUGGAUGAGUUGCGAACGGGUGAGUAACGCGUAGGUAACCUGCCUUGUAGCGGGGGAUAACUAUUGGAAACGAUAGCUAAUACCGCAUAACAAUGGAUGACACAUGUCAUUUAUUUGAAAGGGGCAAUUGCUCCACUACAAGAUGGACCUGCGUUGUAUUAGCUAGUAGGUGAGGUAACGGCUCACCUAGGCGACGAUACAUAGCUGACCUGAGAGGGUGAUCGGCCACACUGGGACUGAGACACGGCCCAGACUCCUACGGGAGGCAGCAGUAGGGAAUCUUCGGCAAUGGGGGCAACCCUGACCGAGCAACGCCGCGUAAGUGAAGAAGGUUUUCGGAUCGUAAAGCUCUGUUGUAAGUCAAGAACGAGUGUGAGAGUGGAAAGUUCACACUGUGACGGUAGCUUACCAGAAAGGGACGGCUAACUACGUGCCAGCAGCCGCGGUAAUACGUAGGUCCCGAGCGUUGUCCGGAUUUAUUGGGCGUAAAGCGAGCGCAGGCGGUUUGAUAAGUCUGAAGUUAAAGGCUGUGGCUCAACCAUAGUUCGCUUUGGAAACUGUCAAACUUGAGUGCAGAAGGGGAGAGUGGAAUUCCAUGUGUAGCGGUGAAAUGCGUAGAUAUAUGGAGGAACACCGGUGGCGAAAGCGGCUCUCUGGUCUGUAACUGACGCUGAGGCUCGAAAGCGUGGGGAGCGAACAGGAUUAGAUACCCUGGUAGUCCACGCCGUAAACGAUGAGUGCUAGGUGUUGGAUCCUUUCCGGGAUUCAGUGCCGCAGCUAACGCAUUAAGCACUCCGCCUGGGGAGUACGACCGCAAGGUUGAAACUCAAAGGAAUUGACGGGGGCCCGCACA
rnacentral:rRNA from 1 species